CACAGCCUGUAAGAUGGUGAGGUGGCUCUCGGCCAAGCUGGGCCCCACUGUCACAUCCCGCUUCAUCGCCAGGAACCUGCUCCGUCUGCUCACGUCCUGCUACAUUGGUAAUGUCUGCUCCUGGGGUGACUGUGCUGGAUGCCUCCUGGCUGCUGCUUCAGCUCUCGCUGUUGACUCCUUGCAGGCCCCACCAGGCAGCAGUUUGUACCCAGCAAUGAUGAGAACGGUCCCCUGAGCACAGGAAACAUCUACCAAAAGCGGCCGGUGCUGGGAGAUCAGGUGUCCAAGCCGGUGCUGGCUUGUCUUCUGCACGUGGCAUACCUGUAUGGAGAACCCGUCCUCACCUACCAGUACCUGCCCUACAUCAGCUACCUGGUUGCACCUGGCAGUGGGUCUGGCGGCGGC
rnacentral:lncRNA from 1 species